AAAAAAAUGUUUGCUGCUGAGCGGUAGAAAAAUGUUUGUUCCAAGGUCUUUUUUGUUGACACAAAGCAACAUUAUUAGUGAGAAAUUCGCAAAAAGUUGUUCUAAUCAAUAAAAUUCUGCGCAUGAGUUGCUUUAUUCAGAGAGAUUUUUUAUUUGCUUUCUAACAAUUUUUUUUUUUUUUUUUGAUUAACUACUUACCAAUGGCAAAAAUAAAUUUGCUGUCAAGCAGUUGCCGCUCAUUGGUGUUUUUCAUUAAUGUUGUUUUUGUUUUGUAGGUGGCAAAGUUGGCUUUGUUGGUGGCCUUGCAGUUCGUUCGUUGGCUGGUGGGUCGCUGGAUCGUCGCCGUUUCUGAUCCCAUUUGUGGCGUUGAUCGUGCAUUGAAUUGCAUUUUGAAUUGAUUUAUUGAAAUAAUACGAAGGAGCCGCUAACUUGCACAAGUUUUUCUUUUCUGUUGUUUUCUGCUAUUUACUUGCAAUCGACAUGCUGUGAAGCGCGUUUAAUUUCAUGGUUUCUUUUUUUUCAAAUUUAUCGUGCAUUAUUUGCGUGCGUUGGCAGUUAAUUGAGGCGGCUAGAAAAAGUUUGCAGUGGAGUUGCUACUUUUUUUGUGAUUUUGUUUUUAUUUUUAUAGCGAGCAUCAGUGCAUUGGCUGUAUAGUUGGUACUUAGCUGUUGCUGUUGUAGUUGCAGUGCAUUUGGAAGAAGAAAGUGGUGCUGCUCAAAGGUAACUCAGAGGUGCUUGUGAGUGCGGUUAGUCACUGUUUGUUGCUUUGUUUUUUUUGUUUUUUGUUACUGUUGCUUACAAUUUUCUCUUUGUUUAAUUGCUUGCUUGCAUUCUCAUUUGAGAGUGAGAGGUACAUAGGUGUGUGAAAUAUGUUGAACAGUUGUUUUUUGGAAUUGCAGGCAUUCAACAGAUCAGCCAUUUGCCAUUCGUUAAAUAGUACGCCCCCAACGUAUAAAAAAAACAAAAUAUAAUAACAAUAGCGGCGCUCAUGGAUGCGUGCUAAGGAAAACUCUUCGAACAAUAACAGGCUUUACAAGCACUAGUCGCUGCCGUUAUGUGUGAGAUUUUCAACAGAUAAAAAGAGAAGUAAUCGUACACAUGCGAAGUUAUUAUUUUUAACUUAAAAAUAAAGAAAAAAUGCAGCAGCAGCAAAUGUAUGUAUUUUGUUUUAAUGAUUUAUCUUGUUACAAGCACUACGAUUUCGAUUUAAUGCUAAUAAAUGGAAAUUUAUAA